GACUUAGAAUAUUCUUCU
rnacentral:snRNA from 1 species